rnacentral:rRNA from 1 species
CCGUUAGGCCUUCGGGCUUAUGUAUCAUAUACUCUGAAUGUGUCAUAGAAUGUUCAUGUUGCCUUAAAACGCAAUCAAAUACAACUUUCAACAACGGAUCUCUUGGCUCUCGCAUCGAUGAAGAACGCAGCGAAAUGCGAUAAGUAAUGUGAAUUGCAGAUUUUCAGUGAAUCAUCGAAUCUUUGAACGCACCUUGCGCUCCUUGGUAUUCCGAGGAGCAUGCCUGUUUGAGUGUCAUUAAAUCCUCAACCCCACCGAUUUGCUUCGGGGGGAUUGGACUUGGAGCGUGCUGGCGAAGGUCGGCUCCUCUUUAAAUGCAUCAGCGGAGAAGAAAGCUCGUCCCAGUGUGAUAAUCCUGUUGCGCUGUGGUGGGGUGAAAAUUCCGCUUCCAACCGUCCUCCGGGACAAGACAUCUCAAUUUGACCUCAAAUCAGGUAGGACUACCCGCUGAACUUAAGCAUAUCAAUAAGCGGAGGAA